rnacentral:rRNA from 1 species
CCUCGAAUCAGGUGGGACUACCCGCUGAACUUAAGCAUAUCAAUAAGCGGAGGAAAAGAAACUAACAAGGAUUCCCCUAGUAACGGCGAGUGAAGCGGGAUGAGCUCAAAUUUAAAAUCUGAUAGUCUUUGGCUGUCCGAGUUGUAAUCUAGAGAAGUGUUUUCCGCGUUGGACCAUGUACAAGUUUCCUGGAACGGAACGUCAUAGAGGGUGAGAAUCCCGUCCUUGACAUGGACUACCAGUGCUUUGUGAUACACUCUCAACGAGUCGAGUUGUUUGGGAUUGCAGCUCAAAAUGGGAGGUAAAUUCCUUCUAAAGCUAAAUAUUGGCGAGAGACCGAUAGCGAACAAGUACCGUGAGGGAAAGAUGAAAAGCACUUUGGAAAGAGAGUUAAACAGUACGUGAAAUUGUUAAAAGGGAAACGAUUGAAGUCAGUCGCGUUUACUUGGACUCAGCCUUACCUCGGUUUGGUGCAUUUCCUUGUGAACGGGCCAGCGUCAAUGUUGUCCGUUGGAAAAGGGUUGGAGAAAUGUGGCUCUUUCGGGAGUGUUAUAGUCUCUGAUCGUAUACAACGGCUGAUAUUGAGUGGUACGGCAUGCUUCGGCGGUGCUUGUGCUGGCA